rnacentral:rRNA from 1 species
AUUGAACGCUGGCGGCAUGCCUUACACAUGCAAGUCGAACGGUAACGGGCCUUCGGGUGCCGACGAGUGGCGAACGGGUGAGUAAUGUAUCGGAACGUACCUUUCAGUGGGGGAUAACGUAGCGAAAGUUACGCUAAUACCGCAUAUUCUGUGAGCAGGAAAGCAGGGGAUCGCAAGACCUUGCGCUGAUUGAGCGGCCGAUAUCAGAUUAGCUAGUUGGUGAGGUAAAGGCUCACCAAGGCGACGAUCUGUAGCGGGUCUGAGAGGAUGAUCCGCCACACUGGAACUGAGACACGGUCCAGACUCCUACGGGAGGCAGCAGUGGGGAAUUUUGGACAAUGGGGGCAACCCUGAUCCAGCCAUGCCGCGUGAGUGAAGAAGGCCUUCGGGUUGUAAAGCUCUUUCGGCCGGGAAGAAAUCGUAUCAGCUAAUACCUGGUGCGGAUGACGGUACCGGCAUAAGAAGCACCGGCUAACUACGUGCCAGCCGCCGCAGUAACAC